CUCCCUAAGGGUAAUGUGCUUGCAUCUUGAACAUUUUGUGCAGUUCUGUUCAUCACUGAAGGGCUGAUCCAUCUCUCAGGGGCAGCACCUGAAUGAGGACCAGCUGAAGAGGUGUGCACCUGGUCUGGCAAUGGGAUGACUGAAGGCAGCAUGAAGAGCACUUACAGCUGGUGCCAGACUCAGAAAGUACAGAAAAUGCAGUGAAACAAAGGUGGGCUGGGCAGAACACCAGCCAAGUAUUUUGACCUCCACCAUGGGCUGGAUUUUAACAUGGGGUAAAACCAUACAGCUGAAAG
ensembl:lncRNA